UACGUAGGGUGCAAGCGUUAAUCGGAAUUACUGGGCGUAAAGCGUGCGCAGGCGGUUAUGCAAGACAGAUGUGAAAUCCCCGGGCUUAACCUGGGAACUGCAUUUGUGACUGCAUAGCUGGAGUGCGGCAGAGGGGGAUGGAAUUCCGCGUGUAGCAGUGAAAUGCGUAGAUAUGCGGAGGAACACCGAUGGCGAAGGCAAUCCCCUGGGCCUGCACUGGCGCUCAUGCACGAAAGCGUGGGGAGCGAACCGG
rnacentral:rRNA from 1 species